AAUCCACAUAGAAAUGGCCGUCCACGAGGGCGGAGGAAAAAUCGUGCAUACAUUAUCCUCCGUAUACAACCAGCUAAUAUCAAUACCACCAACAAGUGUGGAGUCGGAAAGGGCAUUUUCGGCAGCUGGGGUGUUCUGUAACCGUAUGAGGACGAGGUUAAGUGACGAAUCUCUUGAUGCGGUGAUAUUUUGUUAUUGGCGUAGCAGUGUACGCAUUCUGUUUUU